rnacentral:sRNA from 1 species
GCAAUGGCUGACUAGGGUUCCGGCUCGCUUGUGCGAGUGGCUGGUCCGAGAGUUGGCGACCUCCAGUUGAGGUUACACGGCGGGACAAAAGCCCGGGAGAC